GCAGGCAGCUACCAGGUGCCUGAUAAGGGCAGCCAUUUUGAACAAGGCAUAUAAAUGCUGCAGUUCACUAUGGCCAGAAACAUUGCCUAGCUGAGCUGCAGCAGGAACAGCCUUGGAGUACAUGAGAACCCAGUCAUACCAGGAUACCUUUGAGCUAGGACUCUACGAGCAGACAACAAAAACAAAAAAAAGUGGACCUUCUGCCAAAGAGCUUACGACCCAAUACAAGGAGAAAAAUGGAUGCAAAGAAGAGAGUGCAAUGACUGCUGGUCAGAAUGCCAGGGUGAUAACUUAUUAAUCUUCUGAUGCAACAUUGUCCAUGGCUCCACUUUUUACAAAGAAUCUGUAUGAGCUAGUGGUGCUGGGCAUUUUCUUGGCUUGGUGUUCUUUCACACAGCAUUUGUUGCUCCUUGGCUGUUUUUGUGAACCGUGCUCAAGUUCUGCAUGCCUUUCUGCUUCAAGACUUUUCUUGUAGAACUUGGAUUUCUAUCAUGUCCAGUGUCAGAUCAACAGUACUCCAUAAACUUCAGUCUGGACUGGCUGACUUCCUUUGUAAAUUCCAGUUGCUUUAUUAAUGGUUAUUCUGGGCGUUUGCAAUCAUAUUUGAUUAUGAUCCAGAUGGGCAGCUUUUGGUUUUAGCUCCCCAGAACUACAAGGUGAAUUAUCUAAGGUUAAAUCUCCCAAAACCUUUAUGUUAUCAUCUUCUCUUUGUAGCCUAGUUAAAAUUACAUCUUUCAUAUUAUUCGCUUUUGUGUAAUACUGUGCUACAGUCAGCCUCUCCUGCCCAAGUUAACUGGAAAAUAAUAAUAAUAAAAAAAUCAAGUGUUUCAGAACUAGCUAUGGUCAGAAAUAAUGCUGUUGUCAGUUUUCAUUUCUGUUGGUACUUGCUGCUUGCAGAUGCACAAUGAAUUCCUGAUUAA